GAUGAACGCUAGCUACAGGCUUAACACAUGCAAGUCGAGGGGAAACGGCAUCGAAAGCUUGCUUUUGAUGGGCGUCGACCGGCGCACGGGUGAGUAACGCGUAUCCAACCUGCCCAUCACUUGGGAAUAACCUUGCGAAAGUAAGACUAAUGCCCAAUGACAUCCCACGAAGGCAUCCGAAUGGGAUUAAAGAUUUAUCGGUGAUGGAUGGGGAUGCGUCUGAUUAGCUUGUUGGCGGGGUGACGGCCCACCAAGGCAACGAUCAGUAGGGGUUCUGAGAGGAAGGGCCCCCACAUUGGAACCGAGACACGGUCCAAAAUCCUACGGGAGGCAGCAGUGAGGAAUAUUGGUCAAUGGGCGAGAGCCUGAAACAGCCAAGUAGCGUGCAGGAUGACCGCCCUAUGGGUUGUAAACUGCUUUUAUAAGGGAAUAAAGUGGGUCACGUGUGACUUUUUGCAUGUACCUUAUGAAUAAGGACCGGCUAAUUCCGUG
rnacentral:rRNA from 1 species